ACGUUUAAUCACGGGAACCAGAAGAAUUUUCUGUAAUUGUAAUCUCAAAAGUUUUACAGCAAACAGACUUCGAGACUUAUUUUUUUCUUAUUUUGAAGUCCAACAGUACAGUUGGCAAUAAAUUGAAGUUCCUAGCGUUGGAGUGCAGAACUGAAAGCAUUACUAGUGUAUUCGUGUAACGAGGGUGAUCCUGACUCCAACUUGCUAGGUCGUUGCUUGUAACAAGGAGCUAGGAUAGAAAUGCAACCUUCUUAGAGAAGCAGAAUUAAGUUAUUUAGUAAAAAAAAUGAACAGAAAGAAUGAAAGAAAAAAGUGACCAUAGAGGUUCGUUGAUGACAGACUGGCUGGUUGAGAAGUUCUUAAUUUAAAA